rnacentral:rRNA from 1 species
UACGGAGGGUGCAAGCGUUAUCCGGAUUCACUGGGUUUAAAGGGUGCGUAGGCAGCUAUUUAAGUCAGUGGUGAAAGCUUACAGCUUAACUGUGAAACUGCCAUUGAAACUGAAUAGCUUGAGUACGAUUGAUGUGGGCGGAAUACAUCAUGUAGCGGUGAAAUGCUUAGAUAUGAUGUAGAACACCGAUUGCGAAGGCAGCUCACAAAAUCGCAACUGACGCUGAGGCACGAAAGCGUGGGGAGCAAACAGG